GACGAACGCUGGCGGCGUGCUUAACACAUGCAAGUCGAACGGAAAGGCCCUGCUUUUGUGGGGUGCUCGAGUGGCGAACGGGUGAGUAACACGUGAGUAACCUGCCCUUGACUUUGGGAUAACUUCAGGAAACUGGGGCUAAUACCGGAUAGGAGCUCCUGCUGCAUGGUGGGGGUUGGAAAGUUUCGGCGGUUGGGGAUGGACUCGCGGCUUAUCAGCUUGUUGGUGGGGUAGUGGCUUACCAAGGCUUUGACGGGUAGCCGGCCUGAGAGGGUGACCGGCCACAUUGGGACUGCGAUACGGCCCAGACUCCUACGGGAGGCAGCAGUGGGGAAUAUGGCACAAUGGGCGGAAGCCUGAUGCAGCAACGCCGCGUGCGGGAUGACGGCCUUCGGGUUGUAAACCGCUUUCGCCUGUGACGAAGCGUGAGUGACGGUAAUGGGUAAAGAAGCACCGGCUAACUACGUG
rnacentral:rRNA from 1 species